rnacentral:lncRNA from 1 species
CAACUGGGGUCCCCGGCCCCGUGCCCGGCCAGGGUGAGUGGUAAUGUUGUAGAAGUGAGGGUUUUCUAGGGCUGGGCAAAGAAAGGUGGGGUAUCAGCCCCCCUCUGCACAGGGGCAAGGCAGCGAGUGAAGGUCUGGCAGAGAGGCGGAGGCUGCUGCAGAAUAAGCGGAAGGAGCCAGCUGAGGACCCAGCCCAGCGCGCCGCUCGCCUCAAGACAUUCCCCUGCAAACGAUUCAAAGAGGGUACCUGUCAACUAGGAGACCAGUGCUGCUAUUCACACAGCCCUGCAGCUCCUGUGGCCUCUGGUGAUAUCCCCAUCACAGACUGUCCAGAGACUACCACCAAGCUCUCCCCUGAACCAGAGGCUGCUCAUGGGAGCAUUCCUGGGCCAGGUGUAGACUGAGACAAUAAAGAGCUAUAACCUGC